UCCUUGAUUUCCUAUGAAAUAUCCCUGCCCCCACUCUCUCCCAUUCUCCUCCUGAGCCAGCAGAGUAACCCUACCCAUUUUUUGCCUUUUCAGGUAGUCAGACCUGUCCUGACAGCUGGAGGCCUACGUGAGGGGUGGCCACAGAAGGAGGAGGUCUCAGAGGCCACAGAAACUGAGGAAUCUGAACACAUGAGCUCCGGAGUCCCAGGAGUCUCCUGGUGAAGGAAGAAUCUAAAGAGAUGCCUAAGUUCCAGGGAAUUUUCCUCUAAAACAAAAAACAUCAAGAUAGCUUUGAUUUUAUUUAUGUCCAUUAUCU
rnacentral:lncRNA from 1 species